AACAUGAACCUUAUGGGACAAGUGCUUUUAUUAGGCUAAAACCAAGCGAUCGCAAGAUCGUUUUAUUGGUUGAACUCUAGAUAACAUGCAGAUCGUAUGGUCUUGUACCGACGACAGAUCUUUCAAAUGUCUGCUCUAUCAACUUUUGAUGGUAGUAUCUAGGACUACCAUGGUUGCAACGGGUAACGGGGAAUCAGGGUUCGAUUCCGGAGAGGGAGCCUGAGAAACGGCUACCACAUCUAAGGAAGGCAGCAGGCGCGUAAAUUACCCACUCCCAGCUCGGGGAGGUAGUGACGAAAAACAACAAUACAGGACUCAUAUCCGAGGCCCUGUAAUUGGGAUGAGUACACAUUAAAUCCUUUAACAAGGACCAAUUGGAGGGCAAGUCUGGUGGCAGCAGCCGCGGUAAUUCCAGCUCCAAUAGCGUAUAUUAAAGUUGUUGCGGUUAUUACGUUCGUAGUUGAACUUGUGCUUCAUACGGGUAGUACAACUUACAAUUGUGGUUAGUACUAUACCUUUAUGUAUGUAAGCGUAUUACCGGUGGAGUUCUUACAUGUGAUUAAAUACUUGUAUUAUUUCAUAUGUUCCUCCUAUUUAAAAACCUGCAUUAGUGCUCUUAAACGAGUGUUAUUGUGGGCCGGUACUAUUACUUUGAACAAAUUAGAGUGCUUAAAGCAGGCUUCAAAUGCCUGAAUAUUCUGUGCAUGGGAUAAUGAAAUAAGACCUCUGUUCUGCUUUCAUUGGUUUUCAGAUCAAGAGGUAAUGAUUAAUAGAAGCAGUUUGGGGGCAUUAGUAUUACGACGCGAGAGGUGAAAUUCUUGGACCGUCGUAAGACUAACUUAAGCGAAAGCAUUUGCCAAAGAUGUUUUCAUUAAUCAAGAACCAAAGUUAGAGGUUCGAAGGCGAUCAGAUACCGCCCUAGUUCUAACCAUAAACGAUGCCAGAUAGCAAUUGGGUGUAGCUACUUUUAUGGCUCUCUCAGUCGCUUCCCGGGAAACCAAAGCUUUUGGGCUCCGGGGGAAGUAUGGUUGCAAAGCUGAAACUUAAAGGAAUUGACGGAAGGGCACCACCAGGAGUGGAGUCUGCGGCUUAAUUUGACUCAACACGGGAAAACUUACCAGGUCCGAACAUAAGUG
rnacentral:rRNA from 1 species